ACAGUCUUCUCUGCCUAUGAGAGGUUCUUCAUUUCUCUACUCUGAGUAGUUCUCUGCCUAUCAGAUUCAUCACUAAAAAGUAUUGGAUCGUGUUGAAGAAGAAGUAAACGCACUACCUGAUUGCUGCACCUGAAACCAGAGACUACAGUUUUAUAAGAAAUUAUGCUGAACAAAUCAAUUUCGAGGAGAUGCUAGAAGAGAUUGAAAAAAUUGACUUAGUACUCUUGGUCAUGUUUAACAAAGCUGCUCUCUCUUCAUACGGUUUUCCAUUUGCGAAUGUUGUUUGAUAAAGCACAUUUUUCAAAUGAUCUACAUUUUUGUCCACUUGCAAGUACGAAAUAGAUAUGGCCAUACUUGUGUUAAACAUAUGAUAGUGGUGUUUGUCAUGAUUCAGUUUUUUUAGUCAAUUGGUACUUUUUAUAUGAUCACACAUCACAGUUCAAUUUUAUCUAAUUGCAAACAUUCCUUCUCAUUUUACGGAUGCCGAAGAAAUCUUGAAAGAGAUUCCGGACAUAUGAAUUAUGGAUUGAAUGAACUAGUACUCAAAUCUAAGUACUCUUUUUUGGCAGCAGAAUUUCCAUUGGCUUGGCACCAGACUUGUUGCAUUUGAUAGUUUACCUUCCGUUGUUGUAAGAAUUAGUACUUUUUUGUUUCCGUUAAAAAAACACAAUACUCUUUUGUGUUAAAAUUUCCUAUUUCUGAACUUCGUAUUUUUAUUUGUUUUACUUCUUUUUUUUCUUUUCAUGAGUGAAUCCGCGGUUAAUCCGCA